rnacentral:rRNA from 1 species
GAUGAACGCUGGCGGCGUGCCUAAUACAUGCAAGUCGAACGCGCAGCGAAAGGUGCUUGCACCUUUCAAGCGAGUGGCGAACGGGUGAGUAACACGUGGAUAACCUGCCUCAAGGCUGGGGAUAACAUUUGGAAACAGAUGCUAAUACCGAAUAAAACUUAGUAUCGCAUGAUACAAAGUUAAAAGGCGCUACGGCGUCACCUAGAGAUGGAUCCGCGGUGCAUUAGUUAGUUGGUGGGGGAAAGGCUUACCAAGACGAUGAUGCAUAGCCGAGUUGAGAGACUGGUCGGCCACAUUGGGACUGAGACACGGCCCAAACUCCUACGGGAGGCUGCAGUAGGGAAUCUUUCACAAUGGGCGCAAGCCUGAUGGAGCAACGCCGCGUGUGUGAUGAAGGCUUUCGGGUCGUGAAGCACUGUUGUAUGGGAAGAAAUGCUAAAAUAGGGAAUGAUUUUAGUUUGACGGUACCAUACCAGAAAGGGACGGCUAAAUACGUGCCAGCCGCCGCGGUAA